GCUAAUUUGUAAUUAAUAUACAAAGGCGAGUUACCUGUCCUUGGUUUACCAUCAACCAACCACUCGCGUCUAGCUACACGCAUAUUGUAAUGCAAAUCGUUUAGUCCGUCUGAUUUCCAGUAUGGCUUUAAAUGUGCUUUAAAAACACCCGAAGGAAUACACCGGGAACUGGCAGAUUGUAGAGCAUUUAUAACAUUACAUGUGUAUGAUUCAAUUUCAUGGGGAGGUAGGGGAUGAGGGGGAAUAGUAAUUUCUGAGAGAAGUCGGGAACUUUCCUCGCUGUAUACGUUAAUAAUCGCCUUUGUUG